GUCUCCGUAGGUGAACCUGCGGAGGGAUCAUUACUGAGUUUUCAACUCUCCAAACCAUGUGAACUUACCACUGUUGCCUCGGUGGUUAGUGCUCUCCUUCGGGGGAGUGCUGCCGCCGGUGGACUACUAAACUCUUGUUAAUUUUUGGCAUUCUGAAUCAUAACUAAGAAAUAAGUUAAAACUUUCAACAACGGAUCUCUUGGUUCUGGCAUCGAUGAAGAACGCAGCGAAAUGCGAUAAGUAAUGUGAAUUGCAGAAUUCAGUGAAUCAUCGAAUCUUUGAACGCACAUUGCGCCCAUUAGUAUUCUAGUGGGCAUGCCUGUUCGAGCGUCAUUUCAACCCUUAAGCCUAGCUUAGCGUUGGGAGACUGCACUAAACCGCAGCUCCUCAAAACCAGUGGCGGAGUCCUCUCGUGCUCUGAGCGUAGUAAUUCAUUAUCUCGCUUCUGUAAGUACAGUGGAUCACAGCCAUAAACCGCACCCUUCGGGGGCACUUUUUAAUGGUUGACCUCGGAUCAGGUAGGAAUACCCGCUGAACUUAAGCAUAU
rnacentral:rRNA from 1 species